rnacentral:rRNA from 1 species
CCUACGGGUGGCAGCAGUGAGGAAUAUUGGUCAAUGGCCGGAAGGCUGAACCAGCCAAGCCGCGUGAGGGAGUAAGGCGCAGAGCGUCGUAGACCUCUUUUGCCGGGGGACAAAAGGCCGGCCUCUUCCGGUCCUGAGGUUACCCGGAGAAAAAGCAUCGGAUAACUCCGUGCCAGCAGCCGCGGUAAUACGGAGGAUGCGAGCGUUAUCCGGAUUCAUGGGGUUUAAAGGGUGCGCAGGCGGACCUUUAAGCCGGCGGUGAAAUCGCGGGGCUCAACCCCGCCGAGCCGUUGGACCUGGGGGCCUUGAGUGCGGCGGAGGCAUGCGGAAUGCGCGGUGUAGCGGUGAGAUGCAUAGAUAUCGCGCAGAACCCCGAUUGCGAAGGCAGCGUGCCGUGCCGCCACUGACGCUGAGGCACGAAAGCGCGGGGAUCGAACAGGAUUAGAUACCCGGGUAGUC